GCACGGUGUCCGAGCGCGGUGCUUGCUGGCACCGAGUGGCCCGAGGUGCUGGUUUGGAUUUGGGGCUGCCCCAGCCUGGAGCCUCCCGGGGUUGCCCGGCCGCAGCAGCGCUGUCCGGUGCCCGGCCGGGCCGUGCCGUGCUGGCUCCCCAGGGCCGGUGCCUCGGUGCCCGGUGUCUCGGUGCCCGGUGUCUCGGUGCCCGGUGCCUCGGUGCCCGGUGCCUCGGUGCCCGGCAGCGCAGACUUUGCUUUCAGCCACACGAUCGAGUCCUCCCACAGACACCCCAUUUAGAUUUCAACUGCCUUCUUCAGAUCUACCCUAAAUCCAAGGGUGCCUUGCCCCAACACUGCCAAAUGCAGAUUAUAUUUUGACUUGCUGUAUAUGAAUAAAUUAUUCGUAUUUUUCUGCCAUGCGGGAUAAACUACUCUCAGCCAAAAGCAAGGAAAAAAAUUGUCUUAAUUAAUGGCAGACAAAGAUGAUCCUUCAAUGAGUAUAGAAUGAUGCUGCAGGGAAGAAGUUGAAAUCCAGCAGUGCCCUCUCCAGCCACAUGGCCUCCUUAUUUUGGGCUGAUGGCAUCAGGAGGAUCAAGGGACUGGGAGCUGAAAUGCAGAGAAUCACAGAAUAUCCUGAGCCCAUGAAGAUCAUCAAAGUCCAACUCCUGGCCCCUGCACAGGACUCCCCAGGCAGUGGCUUGAACCUGGCACUGCCCAUUGGGGCUGCAAACACCAUCCCUGAUCCACAGUGGUGCAGGAGGGCACAGCUGGGGCAGAUUUGGUCAGUACCAGGGUCUCUUUCUACCCCUGCAGUGCUGCCCCAUGUCCUCAGCAGCUUCCCCAAUCCCACCUCACCGGCACAACAGCCCUGGCCUGACCCCCCUCACACUGCUGCUUGUGCUUAAUAAAAUUUCCA